rnacentral:lncRNA from 1 species
UAAAAAUUUCACAAUCCCUAACCAGUGAGAGAGAGAGAGAGAGAGAGAGAGAGAGAGAAGCUAUUUCAAUGGCGACACAGAGCUCGAGUUCGAUCAAAAUUCAUGCUUUAGGCUAUGCAACUCAAACCCCUUCUCUGGUAAGCUUCCAAUUCGCCUAUUUCUCACUUCUAUUGUUUGGAUAGCGAGAACAUCAAGCAGUAGAAAUGAAAGAAUAAAACGCUAAUCUUCUCCCCAAAUGCAACCAUUGAGUAUUUCAGAUAGGUUUAGCCAUACAUUUUUUGGAAUUUGAAGCAGUUGAAAACCCAAUUGUUGUUUUUAUUUUGUUUUCAACAGGAAUUGAAGGAAAACAUUUUGUUUCUUUAUCAGAAAAUUUUGUUGGGAAAUAAAAGAAAUCAGGGUUUUGGUAUUUAGUGCAUGUAUAACAUUAUGCGUUUGUAAAGUUUUGCAUUGUAGAAUUGUGGACUACGUAUGGAAUGGACUUGUGGGAAGGUUGUAAGUAAUUCAUUAAUCUGUCAAUGUAGUUUGAAGGGAGCUUCUGUGGGGAACUAUUUCUGGGGCACUUGGGGAAGGAAUGACUCGUCCAGUUGUCUCUGUAAAUACAUGCAUUCAGAGCCAAGCUAAUCUUUGUGAAAGUCAGGGGUAUGAUCAUAGAGUAGAGAUGUUAAGGAUUAACAUUCAUGGCUAAUGGGUAAAGCUCAAUUUUUUGGAUGGCAUUUAGCUUGAUAUUAAUUAUAUGUAAGAAAGUAAAUUUCGAGUACUCAAUCUGGCAUUUUAUUAGUGUUUCCAUAGCUUAGCUAUGAUGGCUGGUAUCCAAUGUAUGGUCCGUCCUCUUCUUUCCCUCUUCUCUCUGUUUUUCAUCAUGAUGGGGAUCAGGCAAUUAAGAGUCUUGUAGACUGUUGGCCUCUUAACUCAAUUGGUGUGUGUCAUCGAAACUAGUUAGUUUGAUUUGGUUGUAAUUUUUGUUUGGGAUUGAGAAUGUUAGAUGGACGUCUCAUUCAUCCUCCUUCUAACUUUCUUUCAUUUAUAACAUCUGCGAUUGUUAUAAGAAAUAUUAAAAGAAAAGUAGCUUACUUGCAAUCCACUUUCACCAUGAGGCCAAUACUUCUCUGUAAAAUACUGGAGGUCAUUGCCUGUCCACCCCCAUCAAUGCAUGCAUCUGCACACAACACUGACAGAACAACACAUAUCAGACAUGCAUAUGCGAACAUAUGAACUAUGACCUUAAUGUUCUUGCGCAAUUGCAGAUUUUAAGUUUUCUCUCAUUUGGCAUAUACUGGUCCACACUCGCAAGGGAUGCCAUUUCCUGGUCUAAUAGUAUGUUGAAUAGUGAUAGUUUGUAUGUCUCAUCCUUUUUCUUUUGGCCUUUACCACAAUUGCUUGGUAACAAUAGGAAAAUACGACUGCAACUCCUAAUAGCCAAAAUUUAUUCUAAUAGGUUUGCCACUCCUUGAUGUGCACUCCCCCACGCUUGUUUAUUGCCUUGUUUCGUCCCAAGAAGAAAAAUUCAGACCUACCGUGUUUUGGUCAUUGGUGAAUCAUAGGCAGUUCGGCUUUUGGACUCUAAAUGAUCUUCUUGUCAUUAUCCUGUUGCUCUUUCCUGAACAAGCUCUCGUUCUUAUUUCUAGUAUAAUAGUUUUGUUUCAAAGUUAUGAUUUCAUCUUGCACUAUGCAGGUUAUGUUCUUUGAAGGCUUGAUAGAUUGGAUAAAGUAUGGGAAGCAGUACAUAAUCAUAGGGAUGUAGCAAUACCAGGAUUCAUCAGGAUAAUCUAGCUUUAGUGCUUACCUAGAAGGAUUGAGCAAUGAUAACAUGCGAGAGGAGAUUUUUAAAUUUCUUUCCCAUCCGAUCUUGUUUGUUGAACAGCAUGGGGAAUUUUUAUGAAUCCAAUUAAAUCAUUUGGACGAGAUUUUUAAAUGAUGUUUUCAUGUAAUCUGGGUAUAUAUGUAUAAAUAAAAAACGAAGUUCUGCUUUUUCUUUACUAUUAAAUGUAAAAGUCACGGACAUGGAACGAG